UACUAUUAGGAACCUUUAGCCUUUACCAAUAAAACAAGUAUAACAUUCAUUUUUUUUGUGGUGUGUUUUGGGCAUUAUUUCUGUAUGAUUUAAUUGGGGUUAUUGGUUCCCAUCUGCCAGAAAACAUCUCACCCAACGAUUCCAUUACAUACCAGUAUACCCACAGAGACCCUAAAAGUUUCCAUUACAACCAAUACAAUUUCCAUUAUAACCAUUAUAUCUAUAAUUAUAAUUUAAUGAUUUCAAUCUGUUUAUAAAAUCUGAAGAAUUUAUGUGAUGUUUUAUUGUUUUUCUAGCAGAGUAUUAAUAAAUAAUUGACCUUAAUGUAGCUUAUUUUUUUGUCAGAUAUCAGUUACUAAUAUGAUUUUUUAAAUCUUUUCUUUAUUCUUUUAUAGGCUUCAAGUUCCUAUAGGACAUUUGUUCUCAGGCUACAGAACUGGUCAUUUUAUCAGACAUUACAUCUAUUUAUUUUGUGUUCUCUUUUGAAUGCCAGAAACAUUGCAGACUUCAUUGACCCAGGCUCCUGGACAGAGAAAACAGGAAAAGACCUUGAGUGUUUUCCUCAACAGUGCAGUGGGAAUUAUUGUGGUGUCUACAUGCUGAUGUAUGCUCUCAGCAUCUGCACGUCAUGUCCUUUAACAUUUACAGAGGUAAGGGGGAUUUUCACAUAAUUAUGCUUUUAAACUAUGCUAUGUGCGCAUUUUUAUUUUUGUGCGUUUUAGGAGGAGGUGCCAUUGAUUCGCCAGUGGUGGUGUAUUCAGCUAAUGGAAAAGUUUUGCCUAGAAGGGCAUGGACAGAGGUUUGCAUACUGGACUAAAGAAUCAUCCCAACUUCUUCUGGGAACACUUGAGCCUGUCUUUAGAGUUUCGAAAUCCACCACCACCAAACUGUUGCCCAGCAGAAGAGUUGUGGUUGAACAGGACAUUAAUAAGGUAAAGACUUUAGUGGUCAUAUCCAACAGUUAAAUGCGUGCCACUAUUGUGCCAUUAUAAUUUUGUAUAUUUGAUUUACAACUUUUGUCUUCACCAGGUGCAGCAGCCAACCAUUCUGAUACUGGAUACACAGUCACAGAGACUUAUUCUGUGGGGAGGUGACAGAGCCUGCUUUUCUGCAAAUGACCAUUGAUGACCAACAAAAUGCCAUCAAAAGGGUCAUGUGUGAUGAAUUCCCUGAGGCAAAGGAUGACUUUAUGUUUAUUUUUCAAUGUCAAGAGGACAUGGAGAAAUUUUUGUCCUACUGCAUUGAUGGAAAAAGGCUUGAAGGUCAAUGCAAUGUUCCUGGAGUGAGGGAGGGAGUGAUUG